CCUACGGGUGGCAGCAGUGAGGAAUAUUGGUCAAUGGACGAGAGUCUGAACCAGCCAAGUAGCGUGAAGGAUGACUGCCCUCUGUGUUGUAAACUUCUUUUAUAUGGGAAUAAAAUGUUCCACGUGUGGGAUUUUGUAUGUACCAUAUGAAUACGGAUCGGCUAACUCCGUGCCAGCAGCCGCGGUAAUACGGAGGAUCCGAGCGUUAUCCGGAUUUAUUGGGUUUAAAGGUAGCGUAGGUGGAUUGUUAAGUCAGUUGUGAAAGUUUGCGGCUCAACCGUAAAAUUGCAGUUGAAACUGGCAGUCUUGAGUACAGUAGAGGUGGGCGGAAUUCGUGGUGUAGCGGUGAAAUGCUUAGAUAUCACGAAGAACUCCGAUUGCGAAGGCAGUUCACUGGACUGCAACUGACACUGAGGCUCGAAAGUGUGGGUAUCAAACAGGAUUAGAUACCCCUGUAGUC
rnacentral:rRNA from 1 species